UAUAAAAAUGGGGCUUCAGUCGUACUCUUUAAAUAAAAAGAUAAACAGCUAAUAGAAACAUGCCGUUAUUAUUAACCUUAGUUUUCGGAGUGAUAGUAUAUGAAACUUAUAAAUGCAAAAAAUUAAUGAACGGCAGCUGCAUCCAAUAAUAUAAUAUAAUCCAAUAUAAUAACUAAUUGUAAAUAUAACGUGAUUUUAAUAUUAUUGUAAUUAAAGCUAUGAAUAACGAUUUAAGAAGUCUUCUGAAUCUGUUUAUACAUUCUAAUGAAUGAAUCAUUUACUUCUUCGCAUUUAAAUACGUAUACACGGGCUGUUUUUUCUAUCAUGUAUUUUUGGAAUAAUUUUAUUAAUAAAUAAAUAAAACAAAAGGUGACGAGACGUCAUUACAAAUUAUUGUAUAGACAAUGACGAGAGCCAAAUGUUGUUGUAACAAACCCAAAAUACUUUAUGAAUCAGUUUGAAAAAUAAAUAAGCCAAGACUCCCGCUUGCUCAUAAAUAAAUAAGCUAACCGAAUCAGACAAAGCGCAAGCAAAUUUCAACAAAUCUUUGUAAGUUUCUUUAAGUCGCCGUGUUGCGGGUUGAACUCAAGCGAUUAAACUUGCACCGAAACAUGGAAACAUGGAAAAGCUAGAAUAAAGCAGCAGUUAAGUUUAAUAAAGCUUAUCAGCGAUUUUACAGUUUUAUGGCCAAAAUUUCCAUUUAGCAACCGCUGACCCGGCACCCUUUUGCAAAUGCCGUUUAAUGAGCUGCUCACGCAUAAAAUUUGCCAUUUUUGGUGCGCCUAAGGCUAUGCAAUAAAAUUCAAAUGCAUAUUUUAAUUGCAUUUCGCUGCAGUCGAGUGCCAGUUGUCGUUGUCCUUUUCGAUGUCCUCUCACUGGCACCCACAACGAUCCAGUCCAGAGUAGAUAAUGCAUUAAAAUGGUUGCCGUUGUACACAGCGCGUAAAGUAAUUAAACGCCGCCGCCGCAAAGCUAAUAAAAAUGUCAAAUGUCAGGCUAUAAAACAUAGGCUGGACACCCACACACACACACAUCCACACAUACAGGACUGUGUGCGUGUGUGCGUGUGUGUGUAUCUGAUUGGUUGUCUGCCGACCGCACGGUUCACACCCUCAUCCAUUCACCGCAAAUUUGAUGAGGUGCACUUCUAGGGGCCUAGCCUCGCCCACCUUUCAACAUUUGAUGGCGUCAGGUUUAUAUGCAACAUGUCCAGCGAACUGUUCGCUUUGCAGCGCGCCUGUGGUUAGUUGAUUGCUCUUGUUGCUUACGCGAUUUCAUGGGCGAGUCUGCUUUCUGUUUAUAUUUACUUUAACAACACUUUUGUCAUCAAAUUGAUUCUUUAACAACAAAGUUUUAUCCUCGAGUGGAUUAAUUUCUUGCAAUUUAAUCGCACCUUAUACCCAACAGAGUUUCAGCCAACUAGUCUAUUUUAAAAAAAUAUCUUAUGUUACGCAUAAAAUUAAAAAAACAAUAUGCACAUCGCCUCGAACUUUAUACAGUUUGAUUUAUUUUGGAUUUAGAAUUUGCCAAUUAAAAUUGUUUAUAUGACAAGCAUUUAAAUAACUUUUAUAACCUUGAGAAAUCUAGUAUAAAGUUCCGAAGUAAAGUCUGUAUCUGAAUAAAAUAAUCCAAAGAUAUCCAACAGAUAAAUUUAAAAAGCUGAAAAACUAAGAACUGAAUUCGAUGUUGAGCUAUCUAAAAUUGCAACUGUCAAAGUGCUUUGUAGUUAGAGUCAAAUUUAACGCUUUAAGCCAAUUGCAUACAUUCACAAACUAGGCUAUUAAAUAUGCCCAAAAGGAACUAAAGCCAACGGCAUUUUGUGGUGACCUUAGAAACAGUCAAGCAAGUCCCAGAUAGAGCCGAGGAGGAGACACGGCAGCUGCGGGGCAAUCAAAUGGCUAAGUGAGACCUCAAAACUUUUAAGUGAUGUUUGCAAAAUAUAUAUGCUAACCAACAAAAAUUUGUGGUAAUCAAAAUAUGAGCAUAAACCUGGUUCCUAACACAUCCUCGAGCGGUUAUCGAAGUUGGAAUGUUUUUACUGUAAAUAGCUUGUUUUUAAUUUAAAUAAACGAA